rnacentral:rRNA from 1 species
UACGAACUGUGCAAACGUUAUUCGGAAUCACUGGGCUUAAAGGGUGCGUAGGCGGCUAUCUAAGUAGGGUGUGAAAGCCCCCCGGCUCAACCGGGGAAUUGCGCCCUAAACUGGAUGGCUGGAGUGAGACAGGGGUGUGUGGAACUUCCGGUGGAGCGGUGAAAUGUGUUGAUAUCGGAAGGAACGCCGGUGGCGAAAGCGACACACU